UGGGGAAUAUUGCACAAUGGGCGCAAGCCUGAUGCAGCCAUGCCGCGUGUAUGAAGAAGGCCUUCGGGUUGUAAAGUACUUUCAGUCGGGAGGAAGGUGGUAAGGUUAAUAACCUUGGCAAUUGACGUUACCGACAGAAGAAGCACCGGCUAACUCCGUGCCAGCAGCCGCGGUAAUACGGAGGGUGCAAGCGUUAAUCGGAAUUACUGGGCGUAAAGCGCACGCAGGCGGUUGAUUGAGUCAGAUGUGAAAUCCCCGGGCUUAACCCGGGAAUUGCAUCUGAUACUGGUCAGCUAGAGUCUUGUAGAGGGGGGUAGAAUUCCAUGUGUAGCGGUGAAAUGCGUAGAGAUGUGGAGGAAUACCGGUGGCGAAGGCGGCCCCCUGGACAAAGUCUGACGCUCAGGUGCGAAAGCGUGGGGAGCAAACAGG
rnacentral:rRNA from 1 species